rnacentral:rRNA from 1 species
GGUUAAGCGACUAAGCGUACACGGUGGAUGCCCUGGCAGUCAGAGGCGAUGAAGGACGUGCUAAUCUGCGAUAAGCGUCGGUAAGGUGAUAUGAACCGUUAUAACCGGCGAUUUCCGAAUGGGGAAACCCAGUGUGUUUCGACACACUAUCAUUAACUGAAUCCAUAGGUUAAUGAGGCGAACCGGGGGAACUGAAACAUCUAAGUACCCCGAGGAAAAGAAAUCAACCGAGAUUCCCCCAGUAGCGGCGAGCGAACGGGGAGCAGCCCAGAGCCUGAAUCAGUGUGUGUGUUAGUGGAAGCGUCUGGAAAGGCGCGCGAUACAGGGUGACAGCCCCGUACACAAAAAUGCACAUGCUGUGAGCUCGAUGAGUAGGGCGGGACACGUGGUAUCCUGUCUGAAUAUGGGGGGACCAUCCUCCAAGGCUAAAUACUCCUGACUGACCGAUAGUGAACCAGUACCGUGAGGGAAAGGCGAAAAGAACCCCGGCGAGGGGAGUGAAAAAGAACCUGAAACCGUGUACGUACAAGCAGUGGGAGCACGCUUAGGCGUGUGACUGCGUACCUUUUGUAUAAUGGGUCAGCGACUUAUAUUCUGUAGCAAGGUUAACCGAAUAGGGGAGCCGAAGGGAAACCGAGUCUUAACUGGGCGUUAAGUUGCAGGGUAUAGACCCGAAACCCGGUGAUCUAGCCAUGGGCAGGUUGAAGGUUGGGUAACACUAACUGGAGGACCGAACCGACUAAUGUUGAAAAAUUAGCGGAUGACUUGUGGCUGGGGGUGAAAGGCCAAUCAAACCGGGAGAUAGCUGGUUCUCCCCGAAAGCUAUUUAGGUAGCGCCUCGUGAAUUCAUCUCCGGGGGUAGAGCACUGUUUCGGCAAGGGGGUCAUCCCGACUUACCAACCCGAUGCAAACUGCGAAUACCGGAGAAUGUUAUCACGGGAGACACACGGCGGGUGCUAACGUCCGUCGUGAAGAGGGAAACAACCCAGACCGCCAGCUAAGGUCCCAAAGUCAUGGUUAAGUGGGAAACGAUGUGGGAAGGCCCAGACAGCCAGGAUGUUGGCUUAGAAGCAGCCAUCAUUUAAAGAAAGCGUAAUAGCUCACUGGUCGAGUCGGCCUGCGCGGAAGAUGUAACGGGGCUAAACCAUGCACCGAAGCUGCGGCAGCGACGCUGAUGCGUUGUUGGGUAGGGGAGCGUUCUGUAAGCCUGCGAAGGUGUGCUGUGAGGCAUGCUGGAGGUAUCAGAAGUGCGAAUGCUGACAUAAGUAACGAUAAAGCGGGUGAAAAGCCCGCUCGCCGGAAGACCAAGGGUUCCUGUCCAACGUUAAUCGGGGCAGGGUGAGUCGACCCCUAAGGCGAGGCCGAAAGGCGUAGUCGAUGGGAAACAGGUUAAUAUUCCUGUACUUGGUGUUACUGCGAAGGGGGGACGGAGAAGGCUAUGUUGGCCGGGCGACGGUUGUCCCGGUUUAAGCGUGUAGGCUGGUUUUCCAGGCAAAUCCGGAAAAUCAAGGCUGAGGCGUGAUGACGAGGCACUACGGUGCUGAAGCAACAAAUGCCCUGCUUCCAGGAAAAGCCUCUAAGCAUCAGGUAACAUCAAAUCGUACCCCAAACCGACACAGGUGGUCAGGUAGAGAAUACCAAGGCGCUUGAGAGAACUCGGGUGAAGGAACUAGGCAAAAUGGUGCCGUAACUUCGGGAGAAGGCACGCUGAUAUGUAGGUGAAGUCCCUUGCGGAUGGAGCUGAAAUCAGUCGAAGAUACCAGCUGGCUGCAACUGUUUAUUAAAAACACAGCACUGUGCAAACACGAAAGUGGACGUAUACGGUGUGACGCCUGCCCGGUGCCGGAAGGUUAAUUGAUGGGGUCAGCGCAAGCGAAGCUCUUGAUCGAAGCCCCGGUAAACGGCGGCCGUAACUAUAACGGUCCUAAGGUAGCGAAAUUCCUUGUCGGGUAAGUUCCGACCUGCACGAAUGGCGUAAUGAUGGCCAGGCUGUCUCCACCCGAGACUCAGUGAAAUUGAACUCGCUGUGAAGAUGCAGUGUACCCGCGGCAAGACGGAAAGACCCCGUGAACCUUUACUAUAGCUUGACACUGAACAUUGAGCCUUGAUGUGUAGGAUAGGUGGGAGGCUUAGAAGUGUGGACGCCAGUCUGCAUGGAGCCGACCUUGAAAUACCACCCUUUAAUGUUUGAUGUUCUAACGUUGACCCGUAAUCCGGGUUGCGGACAGUGUCUGGUGGGUAGUUUGACUGGGGCGGUCUCCUCCUAAAGAGUAACGGAGGAGCACGAAGGUUGGCUAAUCCUGGUCGGACAUCAGGAGGUUAGUGCAAUGGCAUAAGCCAGCUUGACUGCGAGCGUGACGGCGCGAGCAGGUGCGAAAGCAGGUCAUAGUGAUCCGGUGGUUCUGAAUGGAAGGGCCAUCGCUCAACGGAUAAAAGGUACUCCGGGGAUAACAGGCUGAUACCGCCCAAGAGUUCAUAUCGACGGCGGUGUUUGGCACCUCGAUGUCGGCUCAUCACAUCCUGGGGCUGAAGUAGGUCCCAAGGGUAUGGCUGUUCGCCAUUUAAAGUGGUACGCGAGCUGGGUUUAGAACGUCGUGAGACAGUUCGGUCCCUAUCUGCCGUGGGCGCUGGAGAACUGAGGGGGGCUGCUCCUAGUACGAGAGGACCGGAGUGGACGCAUCACUGGUGUUCGGGUUGUCAUGCCAAUGGCACUGCCCGGUAGCUAAAUGCGGAAGAGAUAAGUGCUGAAAGCAUCUAAGCACGAAACUUGCCCCGAGAUGAGUUCUCCCUGACUCCUUGAGAGUCCUGAAGGAACGUUGAAGACGACGACGUUGAUAGGCCGGGUGUGUAAGCGCAGCGAUGCGUUGAGCUAACCGGUACUAAUGAACCGUGAGGCUUAACCUU